GAUGAGGAAACCGUGCUGAGGGGAAGCCAGGGCUAUGCAGGUGAGGGCAGCUGGGGUGGGCACAGGGAGCCCCCGGGGCAGGACGCGGCGCUUCAGGGAAGGCUUCAGGUAGGUGCGUGCCCCCUCUCAGCCCGUGCUAUUUAAAUCCCUCGCUUGUGAAAGCAGGCCCUGAAACAAGCAAAUAAAUAUUAUCUGGAAACACAAAAGCCCUGACGAAUCUCCCAAGAAUUCCCUACGUGGGCUGCGGGGCGGUUGCACAACAGGAAGAAGCUGUUGAAACCAUUUUCUCCGUGCCGGCGCCGCGCUGGCCUCCACCCAGAGCCGCCCGCUCGGGCUUCAAACCCAGCUAAACCCAAAGCCAGGCAGCGAGACGGAUAAUAUUUCCAGGUAGCCUGUGGCCAGGUGCGUCUCCCGCUAACCGAAUGCCUCUCAAGCACCGCAGGGGGAUUUUGCAGGAGCCCUCCUGGCCACCGCGCUCUGGUUGCGUGGAUGGGAAAUGCUGGCAGGGGAGCGGGUGCUGAGGGGAGAGGAGAGGGAGAGGGGGAUGCUACACGGGCUUUCCCGAGCUGCGUGGGACGGGAGGCCUGACAUCGCUUCUCCAGGGGUGCAGGAGGCUUGAUCUCACAAGCAUCGCCCCGUCUCCUCCAGCCCCCCUGGAGAAUGGGGUACACGCGGUGACAGCGCUCCUGGAAGUGGCGCUCUGACCCAGCACCCCUCGGUCUUCUCCUUUGGCGUCCCUCACGUCCCCACCGAAGCAGCCUUGGUGAGCUGGGGUGACUUGCCCUUAAACUUCAAAGUCUGGACAUCUUAUGGAAGAAGAGAAUUUGACCCCGAGAACACCCAGCUCCAAACAUGAGACAGGAACGCUGGGCUUUGGCCCUGGCCAGGCGGCACGCAGACACCCGCUGUUUGAAGCCAGCGAAGCCUGAGCCCAGAGUUCGUGCCCAGCUGCCCGCGUCACCCCUCCAGGUACGGGAGGAGCAGCUGGCAGAGCCGGCAGGAUUUCGUCCUGGACACAGCAAGUCUGUGAACGCGCAAGAAGGUGCUGCAGGGAGUUAUGAACGCGCUCCCAGCAUCCCAUGGGGACAGGAGAAGUAACAAGCUUAAACUUCAGCAGAGAUUCAGGCUACUCAUUAGGACGCUGUAUGAGCCCAGCAGCUCCCAGGGACGUGGGGUGGGAUGUCCAAGACCAGCAGGGUCGUUCCGGGCUGAUGCAGGAGUUGAUCUGGGGAUGGCCUGGAUGAUGUCUCAAGGUUUCUCCCAGCCCUACGUUACCACUGUCCCAUGAAAUGGCCGCGGAGCAGCACAGGCUGUUCCUUCAGGGGACAGGCACAGCCUCUGACCUGGUGCCUGAGCUCUCCUGGGCUUCCCCGGCGCUUGGGUGGCAAAGGCAGAGGCCAAGGCAAACCCGCGUGAAGCCUCCCCUGCAGGUCUAUUAGCUGUGCCUUGCGAGGACGUCGCGUCACCCACCCGAGGGGUGCAGCUCACCCGCAUUGCCCUGCGAACGCGGGGGGGAAGCACAAAUCCCCCUGCUCUUACCCGAAACCUGCCAGCUCACCCCAUGCUCCAGCUUUUCCCAGAAUGCAAGAAAACAAAUAAAAUCGAUAGAGCAGCACAGCGGGGCUGCGCGCGGGUCCUGCCCUACGGAGUGAAACGGAGGUUUCUGGAAAAGCGUGAGGUUCAGAAAGCGCCACGACGCCAGCGUCUCUGCUGGGCACCCGGCAGCAGGCAGGGCCCUUGUCAGAGCACCCCGUUCACGGCUAUUUGCUGGGCAUUUAAAAAAAAAAAUAAAAAAAAAAAUAAGGCAGCGGCCCUGUUGAGGUGGCUGAAGACAAAGUUUUUGUGUAAGAAAGGAAAAUCAAGGCUCGCCCUCCACGUCUCUAGCGGCGGGCGGGCGGCAGCAGGCAGGCAGCGCUGUCGGGCAGGGAAUGGCAGGGAGAAGCCACCCAGCACUAGUGACCCGGCAAGUGCU